rnacentral:ncRNA from 1 species
GGUUUAAUUCGAUGCAAAGCGAAGAACCUUACCGGGGCUUGACAUGCCGUGACUCCUCUUGAAAGAGAGGGGUGCCUUUGGGAAUGCGAACACAGGUGGUGCAUGCUUGUCGUCAGCUCGUGCCGUAAGGUGUUGGGUUAAGUCCCGCAACGAGCGCAACCCUCAUGUUUAGUUGCCAUCGUUGAGUUUGGAACCCUGAACAGAUUGCCGUUGAUAAGCCGAAGGAAGGUGAAUUUAAUUUAUGAUGAUUAAUUCAGAUGUUUUGAUCAAUUC